rnacentral:rRNA from 1 species
AGUGAACGCUGGCGGUAGGCCUAACACAUGCAAGUCGAACGGCAGCACAGUAAGAGCUUGCUCUUACGGGUGGCGAGUGGCGGACGGGUGAGGAAUACAUCGGAAUCUACUUUUUCGUGGGGGAUAACGUAGGGAAACUUACGCUAAUACCGCAUACGACCUACGGGUGAAAGCAGGGGAUCUUCGGACCUUGCGCGAUUGAAUGAGCCGAUGUCGGAUUAGCUAGUUGGCGGGGUAAAGGCCCACCAAGGCGGCGAUCCGUAGCUGGGUUGAGGGGAUGGUCAGCCACCUGGGAAGGUGAGCAACGGCCCAGACCCUUAGGGGAGGCACAGAGGGGAAAUUUUGGCAAAGGGGGGAAAGCUUGUCCAAGCAUACCGGGGGGGGUGAAGAAGGCUUUCGGGUGGUAAAGCCUUUUGUUGGGGAAGAAAAGCAGCAGGUUAAUACCCCGCUGUUCUGACGGUACCCAAAGAAUAAGCACCGGCUAACUUCGUG